UAGCAGUUGGAUCGCCCCCCGUCAGCGAGUUUCGCCCACGGGGGUAAUUACG
rfam:Marine metagenome ctg_1101668683817, whole genome shotgun sequence.